AUGUGCGGCGGAGGGAACCUCCCGGAUGUCGAGGUUCCCGCAGUGAGGCGGAAGGUGAUGAAGGCAGUGUUGUGGCCCGAGAAGAAACAACCCCGAUGGAGCGCCAGUGGGGGCCAACACUUAAUGGGGCUCGGCGGGCGCCGGGGACUUGGGCUGGACGACGAGGAUGAGGACUUAGAGGCCGACUACAAGGAGUUCAAGGCCAACUACGGGGACUCCAACCUGGAGCUCCAGCGUGGUGGGGUGUCUGAGAAGGAUGACGAUGACGAGGUCAUCGAGACCAAGCCCUUUGUCGCCAUCAAGACGUCGCUCUCCCAAGAUGACUUAAGCACUAUGAGUACCGCUGGUUUUGAUGGUCCUUCAGAAAGGCCAGCAAAAAGGAAGAGAAAGAACGAAUUCAGGGGUAUCCGUCAGCGCCCCUCGGGUAAGUGGGCUGCUGAAAUCAGAGAUCCUAGCAAGGGUUUCCGUGUCUGGCUUGGUACUUUCAACAUUGCUGAAGAAGCCGCAAGAGCUUAUGAUGUUGAAGCACGUAGGAUCCAUGGCAAGAAGGCCAAGUCUGUUGACGUUGCAUCAAACCAGCCACUUGUUCAGCUUGAUAAUGUGUCAUUUGUUCCUGCAAUGAACUCCGCUACCCCUAUUGAAGCUCCUGUUAUGAGCAUGUACUCUAACCGGGGAAGCAACACGUUUGGCUGCUUUGACUUGGGCUGGGAAUAUGACAUCAAGACUCCAGAUAUAUCAUCCAUUGCUCUCAUAUCCACCAUUGUUGAAGGAGCAGAAUCUGCACUUGUCCAGAGUAACACCUACAACCCAGUGGUGAUUGUUGAAGGAGCUGAACUUGCGCUUGUCCAGAGUAACACCUACAACUCAAUGGUGCCUCCUGUUAUGGAGAACGAUGCUGUCGAUUUUGAAGCUUCGAGGUUUUUUAUGAAUGAUGGUGUGGAUGAGCUGAUUGAUAGCCUUCUGAAUUUUGAUGUGCCUCAGGAUGUCGUCGGCGGGAUGGACCUUUGGAACUUUGAUGACAUGCCAAUCUAUGGCGAAUUUUUCCUGAGGGAUUCAAACCCCUGUGUAUCGGAGGUAAGCCUUCGCAAUUUAGAUGUUCAGUCUGAAGUUGAUAAUCUUUUCAUUACUCUGAACUUUUUGUUCUGUGUUUAA
rnacentral:rRNA from 1 species